AGAAUCAACGCUGGCGGCGUGCCUAACACAUGCAAGUCGAACGCGAAAGCCCGCAAGGGUAAGUAGAGUGGCGCACGGGUGAGUAACACGUGGACAACCUGCCUUCGAGUGGGGAAUAACCUUCCGAAAGGAGGGCUAAUACCGCAUAACACCUCGGGACACAAGUCUUGGGGUUGAAAAGAGCAAUUUGCUCGAAGAGGGGUCCGCGCCUGAUUAGCUAGUUGGUGAGGUAACGGCUCACCAAGGCUUCGAUCAGUAGCCGUCCUGAGAGGGAGCACGGCCACACUGGAACUGAGACACGGUCCAGACUCCUACGGGAGGCAGCAGUGGGAAUUUGGCAAUGGCGAAAGCCUGACCAAGCAACGCCGCGUGGGUGAUGAGUAUCUGGUACGUAAAACCUUCGGACUACGGGACGAACCUAAUCGACGUACCUGACGGAACGACGACCCCGACUAACGUCCGUGCCGAAGCACG
rnacentral:rRNA from 1 species